GCAGGAGAGAACCAGCCAGCAGCCUAGCCGCUCCAACGCACCGACACCUGCCCACCCGCCUCACUCCACUCCAGCCCCCGCGGCCCCAGUGACUGCUCCUCCUGAGGCUUUCCAACAAAGUCAACCUCAACUCACUUUUUCAGGCCUCCCGGUGUGUUCCAAAUCAGGGAUCCCAGGCCAAGGCCCGAGCUUCUGGCUUUCUCAACAGGCAGAUCAACCCUGUUCCCCAACUGGCCACCUUUAUCAACAAGCUGUUACUGUGACCAGUCAUCUCAAUCAUGAUGCAGGUGGAGUCAGCAACCAGGGUAGGUGGCAGGAUCCUGGGUGUGGCCCGGAGUAGGUUCAGGCCCGGAGUGGCCUCAGCCGGCUGCGGCUCAGAGGGACUCACCUUCCGAGGACCGACCGGCUGUUAACUGGCCCGAGCUUCCGCCGUCAGGCCUGUCAGUGAACGCCGAGUUCUCCGUUCUUCUCUCAGAGAAGGCCGAGCCAGAAGACGGGCCCUGCGAACCCUCCGCUGCCUCGGAGGCCGAGAGACAGUACGGCUGGGACUCUAGCGAUCGCUCCAAAGGGUCAAGGUCCAACCAUGAGCACUGAAGUCCUCCACAUCUUCCCAUAUCAAACCCCAGGUGUCCCAUCUCUUUAACCAGCAAACGAGAGAGUUCCUUUCCAUCUCCACUGCACGCCAAUUCUCUGAGCCACUCCCCUGUCAUUUUUGGUUAUGACUAAUGAAACUAAACUCAAUUUUCUCUAUUUUUUUUGAUAUGAAUUGAAACUUGACUUUUUUUUAACCAUUUCAACUUGGUGCAACUUGAUUCUUUUUCCUUUAUUUUUGCAAAAAUAUACUUUAAUCUGACUAAUAUUAAAUAUGUGCUCUAAAACAAAUAAAAGCUAUGCAGCUGAGUUUCAUUUCACUCUAGGAAAGCAACUCAUAAAUUAAAUAUUUCAUUUGGUUUUAUUUUUUACCUGGCUUUGCACCCCAGGAAUAAUCAACAGUUAAUAUUAUGUAACUUACCAAACUCAGUCUUGAAAAAGAGAUAACCAGACACUGAAAAGACACUCUUGUUUGUUUUACUAAGUGGUUCUUCUAAAAAUCUGAGUAAGUAUUAAAGAGGGAAAAUGCCUUUGAAAAUUAAUCUACUUUUUAAAAAAAAGUCUAUUUCUUAAUGGCUGCCAGCCAGACUUCAGUUGGUUUCAUUUUUCAUUUCAAGCUUUCUAACAAAAUAUGACUGGACAGAAUGAGACCACUCCAGACAACCUCAUGGAAAACACAAAGGAAGGACUGAGGAAAGACUAUAAAGACAACCCAAUGCUCAGAGUUUUGGUUUAAUUUUUUAAAGAUCCUGAAGCUAUGCUGUAUGAUGGGAAAAAAUACAUUUAUCUGUGACAAAGCAUUCUCCUUCUUCAAACCUCUGACUAAUCAGAAGACUUCUCGUGUCUGAUAACACUGACAUGCCUUUAGCAAGAAGGGUCAUAUGCUGAGCUGGCUCACUGACUCAUUCAUUCAUUCAUUCAUUCAUUCAUUCACUUAACAAACAUUUAGUGAGCAUCUCCUUUGGCCAGGCAUUACCCUAGAUGCUGGGGAAUGCAAUAGCAAACAAAACAAAAAUUCCUCAAGCACCAUGUUGGGUUUUAUCCCUUUAUGUCUAUUUCACCGAGUCCUCCCAGUGCUCCCACAGGUAUUACUAUCUUCAUUUCAUAGAUGAGAGAAGUGGACAUAGAGAAGUUAAGGCCGAGGUCCCAGAGCCAGUCAAUAGCAAGGCAGGGACUCACAUCUCUGAAACUGAUUCCCAAGCUUGUCCUUAUUCUACUAGACAGCUGCCAUUAUUUUGGUUUGAUGCAAAUAUAGGAAAUGGUUUAAAAACUACUUAAUGGGUUCGAUCCAGUUAGGAAAUCUUAGUAUUUGCAACAAUUAUAAUCAGAACUGUAAAGCCGGAUUGGCAGAAAAGCCAAAUGGGAUAGAAAAGUUAUUAACGGGAAGAACAAUGUUUUCUCAGUGUUUUAAAUUUUGUUCUCCACUUCCCAGUGAGGACAAAUCACGGUGGAAUACACUUUGCCAAAACCAUGUCUCAUCUUUCUGCUCACCCUUUCUUUUACUUGCAUUAUCUCCCUGAGUUCCCUUUCCCUUCUUCCCAUUACGUCUUAUAUCUUUAUUAUUAUUUUAAAAACAUUUUUAAUUUUCUUUUUUUUCCUUAAGAUUUUAUUUAUCCAUA